AAGACUAUAGACCUGCGGAGUACCUGCGGAAGGAUCAUUACCGAGUGCGGGCCCUCUGGGUCCAACCUCCCACCCGUGUUUAUUGUACCUUGUUGCUUCGGCGGGCCCGCCAUUCUGGCCGCCGGGGGGCUUGCCCCCGGGCCCGCGCCCGCCGAAGACACCCUCGAACUCUGUCUGAAGAUUGUAGUCUGGGUGGAAUUAUAAAUUAUUAAAACUUUUAGCAACGGAUCUCUAGAUCGG
rnacentral:misc_RNA from 1 species